GGGGAUUGAGAUGGGAUAAAGGAGAACCCUAACCCUAGAAUUGGGUGGGGUGGGGCUUUGGAGGGGAUUGGGGGGCGCCAAAACAUCCAUUCUAUGGAGGACUUACCCACUGUGUUCUUCUCUCUUGUGGUGGAGGUUAUAUCGAUGGAAGAAACCUAGGAUAACGUUGGAUACGAGUGGGAGAGGAGUAGAGAGAGCGGGAGGCGGGGUUUAGGGUUUUGGGUGGCGGGGGAACAAAGACAUGGCCAGUAUUGAUACUGGGGCCAUGGUUCGCCCUGGUGACCAUGAUGGAACGGCUUACAUCGCCACGCUACUGGGGAACACUGUAUCGCAUCCAGCACCGUCCACAUAUGUGGAUAGAAAGAGUGCGAUACAGAAGGG
rnacentral:lncRNA from 1 species